rnacentral:rRNA from 1 species
UAGGGAAUCUUCGGCAAUGGACGGAAGUCUGACCGAGCAACGCCGCGUGAGUGAAGAAGGUUUUCGGAUCGUAAAGCUCUGUUGUAAGAGAAGAACGAGUGUGAGAGUGGAAAGUUCACACUGUGACGGUAUCUUACCAGAAAGGGACGGCUAACUACGUGCCAGCAGCCGCGGUAAUACGUAGGUCCCGAGCGUUGUCCGGAUUUAUUGGGCGUAAGGCGAGCGCAGGCGGUUAGAUAAGUCUGAAGUUAAAGGCUGUGGCUUAACCAUAGUAGGCUUUGGAAACUGUUUAACUUGAGUGCAAGAGGGGAGAGUGGAAUUCCAUGUGUAGCGGUGAAAUGCGUAGAUAUAUGGAGGAACACCGGUGGCGAAAGCGGCUCUCUGGCUUGUAACUGACGCUGAGGCUCGAAAGCGUGGGGAGCAAACAGGAUUAGAUACCCUGGUAGUCCACGCUGUAAACGAUGAGUGCUAGGUGUUAGACCCUUUCCGGGGUUUAGUGCCGUAGCUAACGCAUUAAGCACUCCGCCUGGGGAGUACGACCGCAAGGUUG